UCAUGGAGUAAAGACCUUCAGUUCCUUGCAUUCGUUUUUGCAGCGGGGGUUCUGAGAGCGGCGUGCUCGUAUAGCAGUAUCUGAGUUCGUGUGCUUGCUAGGUGUGGAUGACAGGUAGUCGUGUGAGGCCGUGAAGGUUUUAAGGGUGGGAGUUUAUCAUUUUGUAUCCCGCGUGACGAGGGUGAAGCGGAGAAGAUUAGGGGGAAUUGUCUGUGCCGGAGAGCAGCACGCAGGGUUUUUGAUCGAGACCCGAGGGCUGAGGAAAUCUGAAGAAAUCUUGAUUCAAAGCAGAAACCAAUUGCCGAACAAUGUGUCACGGUUUAUUUGAAGAGCGGGCAAGGAUAUCCGUGCCCGAACCUCUUCGGGGGGUUUUGUACGAGGAUCAGCCCGAGUACGAGAGAUAUGUCGAUGAUUACCCAAGCGUGUAUGGCAGUAGCAGCGACUCGAUGCCGCCAGAUUCGCCGGAUUUGUCGGACGAUGUGUUGGCUGGUAUAAAUAUCGACUAUUCCACAAUUGUGAAGAAGUCUGAUGCCGAGAAGACCAAAGACAUCGGAUCUGAUGCGCUGCCGUUGACUGGAUCCCUUUCAACAUGGUUUGAUUGCAUCCAGGAUGACGUUUGCAUAGUAACCGAGGGAGCACCAACCAAGUCUGGUUAUUUUGCUGCUAAAUCAUCAUCAUCUCAAGAUGCUUUACGCCUGGUCGAGGCUGCACCAGAAAGCAGGAAAGCUUUUAAGACGGCUGCUGCGAAAGAUCAGAGCUACUCACAACAUGUCUCCAAGAUGGAUGAUGAGGCGCCUGUUUUAAUCGACGAGAAAAGAAAGAGGAGGUGUGUUAAAAAGUUCUUGUCUCCAUUAGAUUCUUAACGGUGUGUGUUUCAGAGCAUGUCAUGAAAAACUUGAAGACCACCUUUGUCUCGACUAUCACGGACACAUCCCUUUCAAUACCAAGAACUGCCAACUUCUGCUCAAUCAUUAUUACUUCAGGUUUGUGGAAAGGAAAUAUUUGAACUGCUUGGUAUAGUGAGGCACAGGUAGUACUAGUUUCACCGAACGAUUGGUCUCGCACCCAUUACUUAUGGUAGUUUUGCGAGUGUCGUCAACGAUUAAUGGCGAUCGGGAAUAAGCCUCCCGCUUAGCAUAAGUUUUGGCAUUGGGUUACUGUCUCUUUGGUGACAAAGGUGGAGGCGAAUGCUACUUAUCAUGCUCACUUCUUGAGCAGUGCUCCAUGUGAAUUUUCAAAGAUGUGGGUAAACACAUCCACUUGGAGCUUGGAAGAAGGAUGUCCUCAAAUCGUGCGUCAGCACAACGGUCAAGACAAAGAAAGCAGGAGCGUCUGGACGAGCUCGAAAUUUUGACUGCUCAAUUACGUUUGGAGAACGCCACUCUAUCCCGUAGGUUAAAGAUAGCCGAGCAGCUCGCCAAGAAACUCGAGCUCGAGAAGAAUGAAUUGGCUGUCAAAGUGGAGGAGUUAAUGAAAGAACUCGAUUCUGCCCGACAUCCACGUGCUCAGGCAGAUUCUGGGGAACUCAGUGAAGGCAAAGAUGUAAACUCUGGCAUCUGUCACAUGGUUGAUGGAGGGCUGAUUUCCCCAGACGCUUGCAUAAAACUUGAAAUAUCUUCCAAGGGCAGCCCUCCGACUGCUUCAACAUUCGGUGCGAAGAAGCGAAACUUCUCCUGCAUAGACAUGUCACGUGGCUUCUUUCAGGAGCUCUACGACGAAAUUGACUCGGACCAGUUCGACGCUAGCAUUAGUGGUGUUCCAGUUCUCCUUCAAGAGCAGUGGUAUGGGUCCUUCACGGAGUGUUUGAACGCGUAACUCUGUCUCUGACAGAAAACUGAAGUGUAACGAUUGAAGGUUGGAGUUUGUCUGCCGAAGAUGUUAUGAUACAUCUUACAUCUGAACUGAUUACUUGCCAUGAUUUCCAUCCGUCAUGUCCCUAACGUAUGGAUACCUUGAAGGCAGAUUUGGUAAGGUUUUUAGGGUCCUGGAAAUGUAUUGGGAGAAACUGAAUUGUUUUAAACGUUUGAAAGAUAAUAAACAUUCUUGCAUCACUGGGAUGUGUUGUUGCUUCAUCAAUCAGUUUCUUUCUCUUUGCAAGCUGUUGUGAAUAGAAUGAUGCUAGCUCCCAUGUGUAAACGGGAGGAUUGGUGUUUCAAACAUCAUGUUACACUCAUGAUUCUGCGUCUUCAGCAUUUGAAAAUCAAUCGUGCACCCAGAUGUUAUCCAUCAUGAGUAAUUUGUCGUUCUGGCCCGUUUGAAAUUAAGUUUCUCACUUUCUUUUCUUCCUUUUUCCUUUUGCCCUCUCCUCCUCUCCCUCUCUCGAUCUUAUCUUCCAAGUCGAAGAUGCAGGUGUACGUGUAGCACGAACUUUUCAAAUCCUUCAUUGUCUCUCCUUCAGAAUUGUCAAGCAUGGGUGGGCAGAAUGAAUUGUCAACAUUAUUUAAUCUUUGAACUUAUUUGCAUUCUACUGUAAGUGUUGGCUUCUGAAUGGUGAAAGUUUUUCCAAAGAAUGUCAUGACGUGAAGAAUCGAUCAAUUGCAUGUUGCUAUAUUAUGAUGCAUUCGCUGCAUUCAGGAGGUGGAAAGAGUGGAGUCUGUUGAGGGUUUGGGUUAGGGUGUGGCAUUUUAGAAAAAGUCCUCAAGAAUGUAGGGGGUUUCAAUGAGAUUGAAAUCUAGCUGUUUUGAACUCAGAAACGCACAAAAAUCUCCAAUCUUGCUGUCAAUAAAUUUCGCCAAAAAAGGCAGUGAAAUAAGCUUCCUCUAAUUGACCUUCGAAUAUUAUGGCUGCUGUUGCUGCACAAGACCUUGCCAACGUAACGUCAAGCCAAAUGUUGAAAGAAAUUACUAUCCCUAAGUGAGGACAGAGUGGUGGCAUGGGUUGGUCUCCUAAGUGAGCCUCAUCGAACCGCGUUCAGACAUUCCACAUCAGGGAACAUAUAAAUGUGUCGGUUCCACAAUUGUUGCUGACUCAUCACAAAUCGACAAAACGCGAUCAUAAACAAAUACAUCAAAUGACAGUUGCCCAAGUGCCGACAAAGUUACGAUACGUAGUCAUCGACGAUGACUUGUAGUAUCCUCUAUAUAUGAAAAGGUUCGGUUGGAAUCGAUAUUUGCAAGAACUGCACUAACAUUCGCAAGCUUAGGACAGCAAAGUGGAUAAAAUCGAACAAGAAUCCAGCGGAGUGGCAGGACAUGUAUGAAUUCAGAACCUCAAAGUCUGCAACUUAUCUUGGUCAAGGUGGGUACCCUAUUUCACUUAAUUUCUGUCCCAGUCUUUGCUGUCAGACUGUCGAUAUGAACUGAUCUGAGGUUAAACUAAACAGUUGGGUUGUACACUUUCACUUGUCCUGGUGGAAAACAUGAGAAUUCGCAGGUUUUGCGGUCUUUAAUGUGGGCUGUCGGUGUUGGGGACGCUUGGUCAUCCUCAGCAUUGCGCAAUGCGAAGUGAGCAGUACGUCUUGUUGUAACAGUUCUUCAAACGUCAAUCGCUAGUCUUCGGCUGCUGCUUUGACCUUGAAAUUAUCGCAAACAGUAAUAGGUAUGUGGGCUGGAAUGGGGCUGAAUCCAGCGCAACAUGCGUACUGGUGGGCAUUGGACGGGUUGCAAAAAUGCCUCAGUGAAAGUCUCCGUGUUGAAAAGACAUCUCGGGCAUGAAUAUUUAAAUGUAAAACGUUCUGCGUGCUCGCUGCAGUAAGCACAGUUUCAUUUUUCAUUUUCUUUAUUUAUUCCA